GUCAACAGAUUUAUCUUUAGAACUGUUCGCAAAAUUUUUGGUUUGGAUACAAAAAACCGACUGAAAAUGAUACUGCAAAGACUGUUUACCGUUUGACCCCUGUCUCAAUCUAACCUAGUGGGUUCAAAAAGAAAGGACCACGCUGGAAACAUGAGUAUCCACUCAUGUUUCAUGAGUAUCCACUCAUGUUUUUAUGCUUUACAGUGCAGAUCAGCCCUUUUUGAAUUAAUAGUCGAAGUGGUAACCAGCUAGAAGUCGUAACCUGCUUGUAUGAAAGGAUUUCUCGACGUGAAAUUGUUAAUUUUAUUCAACAACGCCAAGAAACAGAGCUCGCUCAAGAAACAGAAAA